GGUCCCGUAGCUCAGCCUGGUACACUUUUACGAAAAAAUAUGGGCAAUGGAGCGCACGACUGAUAAUCGUGAGGCCCCGCGUUCAAAAUGCAAGUAUCCUGUGCGAGAUUCUCAAGGGGGAUGUUCCUACGGAAAUCCCACGACGAAAGCAAAAGAAUACUUGAUGAAAGUCGCGGCGGGACCA
rnacentral:tRNA from 1 species